rfam:Thermogladius cellulolyticus 1633, complete genome.
GCCGCCGUAGUAUAGCCCGGUCAAGUAUGCGGGCCUUUCGAGCCCGUGACCCGGGUUCAAAUCCCGGCGGCGGCA